UGGCGACGCAUCAUUCAAAUU
rnacentral:siRNA from 1 species